rnacentral:rRNA from 1 species
UACAGAGGAUGCAAGCGUUAUCCGGAAUGAUUGGGCGUAAAGCGUCUGUAGGUGGCUUUUUAAGUCCGCCGUCAAAUCCCAGGGCUCAACUCUGGACAGGCGGUGGAAACUACCAAGCUGGAGUACGGUAGGGGCAGAGGGAAUUUCCGGUGGAGCGGUGAAAUGCGUAGAGAUCGGGAAAGAACACCAACGGCGAAAGCACUUCUGCUGGCCGACACUGACACUGAGAGACGAAAGCUAGGGGAGCGAAUGGG